AAACUCCUGGCCUCAAGCGAUCCUCCUGCUUUGGCCUCCCAAAACGCUGGGAUUACUGGCGUGAACUACCAUACUCUGCCCUUUAUUCUUACAGAGAUUUUGAGGUCUAAGAAUGUGGACUUUAAAGAUUUCAUUAUCAGAUUAUGCAUUUAGCACGGAAUGACAAUCUGACAGCCGUGUACAGCGUAAACCGGCGGAGAGGGCUUGGCACUAAAGGCAAACUGUCUUUUAAGAACAGGAAAAAGAAAGCUUUGGCAGCAUGUAAGCAGCUGUUUGCCAAGAACCCAGGUCACUGCUAAGAAAGGGUGCCUUCGGGAGAAGAGUGUCCAGAGGAUACCAAUGCCAGAUGCAUCUGGAGUUACACUCAGCACUCGCAGUAUGAGACAUUGUGUGCCAGCAUCUCUUUCCUUCUGGCAAAGACUGUAGCUCUCCAGGUAGGAGGAUCCUGGAAGCUGUGAGCACCAGGAGCCUUGCCAGAGGAGGAUGGGGCCAGAUAUGAACUCUCUACCAUGAACAUGGUUCUCGGCUUAUGAAGGAAUUUUAAGUAAAACAGUUAUUUAAUUUCCACAUAU
rnacentral:lncRNA from 1 species